UACAGAGGUCUCAAGCGUUGUCCGGAAUCAUUGGGCGUAAAGCGCGCGUAGGCGGCCCGGUAAGUCCGUUGUGAAAGUCAAAGGCUCAACCUUUGAAAGCCGAUGGAUACUGCCGGGCUGGAGUCCGGAAGAGGCGAGUGGAAUUCCUGGUGUAGCGGUGGAAUGCGCAGAUAUCAGGAGGAACACCAAUAGCGAAGGCAGCUCGCUGGGACGGUACUGACGCUGAGGCGCGAAAGCGUGGGGAGCGAACAGG
rnacentral:rRNA from 1 species